UAGGUGUUUUUUAUGCCCACCCAUACCCGACGUACCACAGCCACUGCUCAUUGCAUUUGACUUUGAUACAAUCAAUGUAAAUUGUAUUAAGCGGCACUGAGUUCUUCGUACCGAUUCAAACUCAAAACAGUCUAAAACUAGUCACCACCUUUAACUCAUCGCUGGCACCUCUCUCUGAACUCGGUUCGGGCUCUCUCUGCUGAUGGGCUGAAAUCGUCUUGUCGAUCUUGAAAAGGAAAAUUUUCACUACUGGGUAAACUUCAAGAUUGGAUCUUUUUGGCGUUUCUAAGUUUGGUUUAUAUUCAGUCACAAGUUUUGGGUUUCAAGGUAUUUCCUUGAAGAGGCAUCUAGUGAUUGGCAUUUGUUGGUCUAAUGGGAAUAUGGGAAUCUCGCGAUAUCAUCUGUUUGGUUGGUGAGAAAAUGUAGGAAAAUGGAAGAAACUGUGAGUGUUAAACCUUUCAGUUGUUUUCGGUGCUGCUGAUUGAAAUAAACAGCUGAGAUAUGGCUUUUCAGUCGAUUGUGAUGAUCGAAAGCUUUUACUAGCUGAUUUUUUUUGUUGCUUUUUGUAAGAAACCAAAUUGAACUUUAGGAUGUUGUGAUCGAGUGUGGCGAGAUGGAUAGUUCGGGUUUGGGAGGUGGGUUUAUGUCUGGUCCCAGUGGGGGGAUACUAGACCUUGAAUCGCCGGUUCCUAGACGCCAAGAGAUGCAGUUGGGUCAUCAAUUGUUAGGGCAUCACCAACAUCACAUGAAUGUGAUGGGGGGCGGCGGCAUUGCAGGCGAUCGUCAUCCCAUUGGGCUUGUGGAAGUGAAAGGGUCAGUCCCAAAAGUUGGUUCGACUAUUGCCAAAGGGAAGGCAGUUGCUUCGUUUAAUGGCAAUAACGGUUACAAUUUGAGUGAUGACGAUGAACAAAAUUAUACAGAUGAUGAGAGCAUUGAAGGUGCCAAGGGAAAAAAGGGAUCUCGAUGGCAGCGGAUGAAGUGGACAGAUAAUGUGGUCAGGCUUCUUAUUGAUGUUGUUGCUUGCGUGGGUGAUGAUGGUUCGGAUGAAGGUGGUGAGGGGCUUAAGAGGAAAUCUGGGAUAUUACAGAAGAAGGGUAAGUGGAAAACUGUGUCGCAAAUAAUGAUUAGUAAAGGUUGUCAUGUUUCUCCUCAGCAGUGUGAAGACAAGUUUAAUGACUUGAACAAAAGGUAUAAGAGGUUGAACGAUAUUCUCGGGAGAGGAACUAGUUGUAGAGUGGUAGAGAAUCCUGCUCUUAUGGAUGCAAUGCCCCACCUCCCUGCCAAGGCGAAGGAUGACGUUAGGAAGAUACUGAGCUCAAAACACUUGUUUUAUAAAGAAAUGUGUGCUUAUCAUAAUGGACAGAGGAUACCUGACUGCCAAGAGCUCAAUCCCCAUGGCUAUUCCCUACCUCUUGGGAGGUGCUCAAAAGACAUUAAUGGAUCCGAGGAAGAAGAAGCUGAAGAAAACCAUGAUAGUGAGGAUGAUAAAUUGGACAACGAAGAUCAUAACGAUGCUGAUAAUGAUAGGGAGAGAAUGAGAAGAAUGAGUGAGAGGAAGAAGGCUAGGGAAGAAGAUGGCCAUAUGUGGCCACAACAUGUUCCUCUCGAUAGUUUUGAAGUUGAAGUGGGUGACUGUUUUCAAGACGCAACAAAGUCGUUAUGGGAACGGAGAGAUUGGAUCAAGAAACAGAAGCUGCAACUUGAAGAGCAAAGAGUCAGCUUCCAUGCUGAAGCUUUGGAGAUUGAGAAGCAAAGGUAUAAAUGGCUAAGAUAUUGUAGCAAGAAAGACAGGGAACUGGAGAGGCUGAGACUGGAGAAUGAGAGAAUGAAAUUAGAGAACGAGAGAAGGGUAUUGCAACUGAGACAGAAGGAAGUGGAAUUAGAUUUGAGGAGGUCAGAAGCUUCCUUGGAGCCUUCCUCGCUUGGGCUAGGAAGAGAUCAUAUAGAUUUGGGUAGGCAUUAAUAGCUUCGGAGCCAAGUGCUGUUUGUGUGUGCACUAACUGGAUCAUGAGAGACAUCCCGUGCUUAGUCAAUACUCUGGAAGAAGACCUUUGAAGCACUCUAACCUUGGUGAAAAAUAAUGAAGUGACCACUUGGUUUUGAAAGAAAUUUCGAGAUGGGAGAAGGGACAGCAGCUGGACACUUUUCUUUUGCUAGCUAGCAUUACUUGCUGGGAGAUUUGAAAAGCAAGAUGUGCUUUUGUGUUCAAUGAUGUGCCGCUAGAGCCAAAGAGAGUAAUUUAGAGAAUCAGAGAGGCUUUUGGUAGAGGUUUUGUUAAGGUGAAUUCUGAUGGUGCUUGGUGUGGUUCUUCGUAAAGCGCUGGCUUGGGAGUAGUGAUUCGAGAUGAAUCAGGUAUUUUCAGAGGAGGUGUAGCAGCUCACUGUGUGUCCUUCUCCGCUUUUAUCUGAAACAGCUGGUGCCACUGAAGGUUUGAAUCUUGCUGCAAGUUUGGGUUUCACCAAGUCAGCAUAGAGAUGAUUGUCCCUUAUUACAUGCUUGCAUGGUGACAUAAUUACUGGUGCUCGGGAACUCUAUGAUCUAUCGUCUAUUGUUCACCGAUGGAAAUGGACAAGACACCAAGCUAAUGGUGUGCCUCACUGCACCACUUCGCUUGGUUUGAGGAUUGUGGAAAGUCUUCGUUGCUUUAUCAAAUGCGUACUGAUGAGUCGGGGAUUAUACAAUAUAUUUUACCCUAUUCUUAGUAUUAAUUUAUUGGUUAUUUUGUGAGAAUUUUGAUACUUUGAAUUAUAUUUUCAAUGUAGGACAUUCAAUUUCCUCUAGAGCAAAACGUGAUCAAACAAACGGAUUUGGAGUGAUUUCAGUUGGAGGAUGUUCGUGUAUAUCUUAACUUGUUCGUGU